CCCAACUAUCCCUAUUAAUCAUUACGGUGGUCCUAGACCAACAAAAUAGAACCAACGUCCUAUUUUAUUAUUCCAUGCUAAUCUAUUCAAGCAAAAGCCCGCUUUAAACACUCUAAUUUUUUCAAGGUAAUGGUUCUGGUUCCCCGACACACCCAACAAAGGACAUAUCGGCUCACCAGAAAGAUAGACCCGACAACAGGACAGUACUUGCCAGAGACGGACCGCCCGGUCAGGCCUAAAAUUCAACUACGAGCUUUUUAACUGCAACAACUUUAAUAUACGCUAUUGGAGCUGGAAUUACCGCGGCUGCUGGCACCAGACUUGCCCUCCAA
rnacentral:misc_RNA from 1 species